GGGAAAAACCUUGAUGAAAUUCACCUUGAGCCUUAUGAGAAAGUGAACAUAGGUAGUGAUGGUAAUGUGUCUGAAAGUGAGGAUGAAGAGAGUGAGAUGCCCCAGCCGAAAAAACGAUGUCACUCCUCUUUAGCAUCUACAGGUUUGCAGCCCUUUGACUUGCUAUAAGCAGACGAAUCUUCGGUUGGCAGCAAGUCUUCGGGGGAGAGUGACAUGCCUCAGCCAAAGAAGCGACAUCAUUCCCCUUCAACAACUACAGAAGAACUUUCAUUUGGCGACAAGUCAGUAAAGGAGAAGGAGUUGCCUUCAAAGUCAGGUGUGUCAAAAAACCAAAAGAGGAAAUGGACUGAAGAUGAGGUGAAGGCGGUGGAGAACAAACUUCUACAUUUCAUCACAUCUAGCAGGGUACCAGGGAAAAGAGAGUGUGAAGACUGCAUCAGGUCAGCUCUGGUGUUGCUCCAGAAUAGAACCUGGGAAGCCGUGAAAUUUUACAUAAAUCACAGCACUCAAGAGGGGAGUGUGAUAAAAGAAAAUAAAGUACAGUUGUGUUUAGAGGUAGCAGGGAGCACCUGCUGACCUGUGUCCGAAUGCUGAUUUAAGAAGUUUGAGCAACAACAACCACCACCACAAAUGAUGUUGAUGCCAUGGCCAGCAAAAUUGAGGUGCUGGUGGCAAGUAUCAAGAGAUGUUCCAGCAUCUCUAUAAAGAUACAGAUGGCAACAAAGGUCGUGCCAGGAUCCGCCACAAGAUCAGGAAAAAGAAGGGGAUCCUGACAUCAGCUGUAGAGAAAUACAACUUAAUGGUUCCAAACACAGAAACUCUGUGCAUGUAAACCAUUUUGUCUGGUGAGACAGCUUGGCCAUAGCAGCUACCACUGUGUACAUUUUGUCUGGUGAGACAGCUUGGCCAUAGCAGCUACCACACAGUGGACAAAAAGAAAGGUAUUCAAAAUCAUGUCACUAAGGCGACUUCAGGAGGAGACGAUUCUUGUUGCAGAAAUGGACCACCAUUAGAAAUAUCUUUCAACUCGUGCUGAGACCCUUAGAGAACUGUCUGGUUUGAUUGCCAGUGAGAGACUAAAAAAUUCUCAAUGUGGCCUAAGUGAAGAAGGUUUGAAAAGUCUGCAGAGCAUCAUCCACAGAAAGCAACGUAAAAUCAGAGAGAUGAGGGUGCAAGCAAGAGACUGUCACCUGCACGUAUUGUUUGGAGCAGAGAACAUCAACUUCUUAAACAAAUCGUCAGCUGAAGACUAUGACAGUGACUUUGAAAUUUCUGAUGAUGAACUGUAAUCAACAUCACUGCUCUAGAGGAGAUCUGCAAGGAGGAAUAGGCCAAACUACUAGUAACAGUGUAUAAAAACCUUGUGGAGACUUACAGAAAAAAUUAACAAAAAAUAUAACAGUAUUAUAACAGUUAAGAUUGGCAGAGGGCUGGAUUACUUUAAGAAACCAAAAGGAAAGACCAAUAUGAAACACAUAUUCUUAUCUUACUCUACAUAGUCUCUCUGUUUGCGGAAGAACAAGGCUGGUGCCUGAUCAAGCGCACAGCUGCCUCUCACCAUCUGAGUCUAACAGUAGACUUUUAACAACUGUAAUGUUAAGAAGAGUAUUGGCACAUAUGUUCACUGUCUCACACGAAUGAAAAAGACUUAGAUAUGUGCUAUCAAGUAUUGAGAAACUUUUGUUAUUGACCAAAUACUUAUUUUCCACCAUAAUUUGCAAAUAAAUUCUUGAAAAAUCAA